AUACGGAGGAUCCGAGCGUUAUCCGGAUUUAUUGGGUUUAAAGGGAGCGUAGGCGGACGCUUAAGUCAGUUGUGAAAGUUUGCGGCUCAACCGUAAAAUUGCAGUUGAUACUGGGUGUCUUGAGUACAGUAGAGGCAGGGGGAAUUCGUGGUUUAGCGGGGAAAUGCUUAGAUAUCACGAAGAACUCCGAUUGCGAAGGCAGCCUGCUGGACUGUAACUGACGCUGAUGCUCGAAAGUGUGGGUAUCAAACAGGAUUAGAUACCCUGGUAGUCCACACAGUAAACGAUGAAUACUCGCUGUUUGCGAUAUACAGUAAGCGGCCAAGCGAAAGCGUUAAGUAUUCCACCUGGGGAGUACGCCGGCAACGGUGAAACUCAAAGGAAUUGGCGGGG
rnacentral:rRNA from 1 species